AAGGAUUUAAGUUAAAUAAACUAUUGACCUUCAAAGUCAAAAAUAGACUUUGUCUAAGCCUUA
rnacentral:tRNA from 1 species